UACGAAGGGGGCUAGCGUUGUUCGGAAUCACUGGGCGUAAAGGGCGCGUAGGCGGCCGAUCAAGUCGGGGGUGAAAGCCUGUGGCUCAACCACAGAAUUGCCUUCGAUACUGUUUGGCUUGAGACCGGAAGAGGUAAGUGGAACUGCGAGUGUAGAGGUGAAAUUCGUAGAUAUUCGCAAGAACACCAGUGGCGAAGGCGGCUUACUGGUCCGGUUCUGACGCUGAGGCGCGAAAGCGUGAGGAGCAAACAGG
rnacentral:rRNA from 1 species